GUAGGUGGCAAGCGUUGUCCGGAAUUAUUGGGCGUAAAGCGCGCGCAGGUGGUUCUUUAAGUCUGAUGUGAGAGCCCCCGGGCUCAACCGGGGAGGGUCAUUGGAAACUGGGGAACUUGAGUGCAGGAGAGGAAAGUGGAAUUCCACGUGUAGCGGUGAAAUGCGUAGAUAUGUGGAGGAACACCAGUGGCGAAGGCGACUUUCUGGCCUGUAACUGACACUGAGGCGCGAAAGCGUGGGGAGCAAACAGGAUUAGAUACCCUGGUAGUCCACGCCGUAAACGAUGAGUGCUAAGUGUUGGGGGGUUUCCGCCCCUCAGUGCUGCAGCUAACGCAUUAAGCACUCCGCCUGGGGAGUACGGUCGCAAAGACUG
rnacentral:rRNA from 1 species